AAUCAACGCUGGCGGCGCGCUUAACACAUGCAAGUCGAACGGGAAAGUGGAGCAAUCCAUGAGUACAGUGGCGUACGGGUGAGUAACACGUGGGUGAUCUACCUCUUAGUGGGGAAUAACCCUGGGAAACCGGAGCUAAUACCGCAUAAGCCCGAGAGGGGAAAGUGGCUUUGUGAAAACAGAGCCGCGCUGAGAGAGGAGCCCGCGGCCGAUUAGCUAGUUGGUAGGUAAAAGCCACCAAGGCAGAGAUCGGUAGCCGGCCUGAGAGGGCACACGGCCACACUGGCACUGAAACACGGGCCAGACUCCUACGGGAGGCAGCAGUGGGGAAUCUUGCACAAUGGGGGAAACCCUGAUGCAGCGACGCCGCGUGAGCGAU
rnacentral:rRNA from 1 species